AAAUUGAAGAGUUUGAUCAUGGCUCAGAUUGAACGCUGGCGGCAGGCCUAACACAUGCAAGUCGAACGGUAACAGGAAGCAGCUUGCUGCUUCGCUGACGAGUGGCGGACGGGUGAGUAAUGUCUGGGAAGCUGCCUGAUGGAGGGGGAUAACUACUGGAAACGGUGGCUAAUACCGCAUAACGUCGC
rnacentral:rRNA from 1 species